rnacentral:miRNA from 1 species
AUCGUUGACUGGAAGGAUCUCCUUCCAGUCGGCGAGGUACAUGUACCUCGUCGGCCGGAAGGAUUUCCUUCCAGUCGACGAGGUACGUGUACCUCGCCGGCAGGAAGGGCUUCCUUCCGGUCGACGAGGU